AACUCCAAAUAUGCUAGCCAUAUAUGCUAGCCAAGUGUUCUAUCAAUUGUGCCAGUGAAGAUCAAGGCGAACAAUGGAAAUAAAAUAGUGCAGACGUAUGCAUUUCUGGACCCCGGCAGUUCUGCCAGAUUUUGCACUACAGACCUCAUGAAUCAACUUGAUAUGACUGGAAAAAGGACCAACAUUCUGUUGCGAACGAUGAAUCAAGAGAAGAUGAUGGUCAGUAAUGUGGUGUCUGGUUUGGAGGUGAGUGCACUACAUGAGCAAUUGCAUUGCCCUUCCAGAUGUAUACACACAAAACUCCAUGCCUGUUAAUAAGCACAACAUCCCUACUCAGAAUGAAGUAUCCAAAUGGCUUUACUUAAAAGGAGUUUUACUUCCCACCAUAGAAGCAGAUAUUGGCCUGUUAAUUGGCACUAAUGCCUCUAAAUUAUUAGAACACUGGGAAAUAAUCAACAGCCAGGGAGAUAUGCUGUGAGGACCUUGCUUGGUUGGGUGGUUAACGGCCCAUUAAGAGGAGGAGAUAAUGGAUGCACCACAGUCAAUGUCAACCGUUUAUCGCUGGUCAAUUUGCAUGACCUAAUGAUAGCCCAGUAUAAUACUGAGUUCAACGAGAAAACAUAUGAUGAGAAAAGGGAGAUGUCUAGGGAAGAUAAGUAAUUCAUAAAAAUUGUUGAUGAGUCUGCCAAAAUAGUGGAUGGACAUUAUAGCCUCAAACUUCCCUUUAAAAAUCAGGACCGUUCACAUUUUUGGAGCUGUAUCUUCUUCCAGUUGUGCAAGCUAUGCUCUCAGAAGAACUGCUGAGGACAGUAGACAACAUUUUAGGUCUAAAGUAAUUGACACAAUUUUGACUAACUUUUAUGUUGAUGACUGUCUGAUGUCUGUAUCCACAGAAGAAGAAGCAAUUUUGCUUAUCCAGGAAGUAACAGCUGCUUGUGAAAGAGGAGGUUUUCACCUAGCUAAAUAGAUAACCAACAGUCGUUCAGCGUUAUCUAGCAUUCCAGAGUCUGACCGAGCAAAAGAGGUUGGCAAGUUAGAUUUGGACAGAGAUAAACUUCCAACAGGAAGAGCACUAGGAGUUCAGUGGUGUGUGGAAGAAGAUAAUUUCACCUUUGAUGUUACUAACAAGCCACAGCCACAUACCAGAAGAGGUAUACUGUCUGCUGUGAGUUCUAUCUACACUGUUAGACAUUUCUGUAAUUUCCACAGUUAUUUACUGUAUAUCACCCAGUAUAAUACUGCAAAUUCCCUUUACAGUAAAUAACUGUAAUACCCUUUGCAUCAUGGGAAUUUUCUGUGACGUCAGACCCCACAUACAGAGACUUACUGUAUUUUUUAAAAUUGCUGUAUACUACUGUAACAGUCUCUUUGGCGCCAUUAUACUGAGGUCGUUUUAUUUUCCUCAUUUCUUACAUUUGGACACAAUUUGCCCUACACCGUGUCUACAACGCCGCAACAGCUUGGGACUGACUACACUGGAUGUGUUACAUCGCUUCUAAUGAUUGGAAAAUCCGUUUGUACUUCGUGUCAGAAACAGCGCGAGCGCUUGGAGUACAUCUGUACAUCAGAAAUAUACCGGGGCAUCACAUUACUGUCCGCAUCCACUGUAGAUAAUAUAUAUAAUGGGUUCUAUAUUGUUUUUUAUCGAGUCGCACCUCGCCGCGCCACUCGCGUCCGAGGAAGACACGGAAGCAGCGGGCAGCGCCGCAGGUUUUUCCCGGGGAUGAACCCGCGAGAGUGGAAGAGCUCCGGAGAACAUCUACGCUGUGUGUCGAUGCACUUUACGAGAGAAUAAGACCAGCAAGCAAGGCAACUGCAAUGGAGCAUCAAGAAAGACAUGAGCAGGCCAGCCACCCUGAGACUGAUAAUUCAUGAGAAGACAAUUUCUGUCAAAGUGGAUGGUGAGCAAAGAUGGUGGCCACGUUUUGGAGCAGCACCUGGGUUUUGCAGACGGCUAUGUAUUCUUUGGCUGUUUGUCUUUUUUCCCCAUUUUGUUUCGGUUGCCUAAAGAUUCUUUGUGAGGAUAAAUCCAGAGGACACAACAUAAUGCACUGCAAAACGUCCUAAGACAGGAGAAAUGGUGAAGAUGCACUGUUCCAGAAUUGGAAGACUGU